rnacentral:tRNA from 1 species
GCGGGUAUCGUAUAGUGGUUAUUACUCAAGCUUCCCAAGCUUGCGAGGCGGGUUCGAUUCCCGCUACCCGCUCCA